rnacentral:rRNA from 1 species
GACGAACGCUGGCGGCGUGCUUAACACAUGCAAGUCGAACGGAAAGGCCCUGCUUUUGUGGGGUGCUCGAGUGGCGAACGGGUGAGUAACACGUGAGUAACCUGCCCUUGACUUUGGGAUAACUUCAGGAAACUGGGGCUAAUACCGGAUAGGAGCUCCUGCUGCAUGGUGGGGGUGGGAAAGUUUCGGCGGUUGGGGAUGGACUCGCGGCUUAUCAGCUUGUUGGUGGGGUAGUGGCUUACCAAGGCUUGGACGGGUAGCCGGCCUGAGAGGGUGACCGGCCCAACUGGGACUGAGAUACGGCACAGACUCCUACGGGACGCAGCAGUGGGGAAUAUUGUACAAUGGGCGGAAGCAUGAUGCAGCAACGCCGCGUGCGGGAUGACGGCCUUCGGGUUGUAAACCGCUUUCGCCUGUGACGAAGCGUGAGUGACGGUAAUGGGUAAAGAAGCACCGGCUAACUACGUG